rfam:Hordeum vulgare subsp. vulgare, WGS project CAJW01000000 data, contig: morex_contig_229636
UCACUUACCUGGACGGGGUCGACGGGCGAUCAACAAGGCCCGUGGCCUGGGUCAAUGGCCCACAUUGCACUUGGUGGGUGCGUUGGCCCAUCAUCUCCCCAAGUGGGAGAGU